rnacentral:rRNA from 1 species
UACAGAGGAGCCAAGCGUUGUCCGGAUUUAUUGGGCGUAAAGAGCGUGUAGGCGGCCAGGUAGGUCUGGUGUGAAAACUCGAGGCUUAACCUCGAGAUGUCAUCGGAAACCAUUUGGCUAGAGUCCGGAAGAGGAGAGUGGAAUUCCUGGUGGUAGCGGUGAAAUGCGCAGAUAUCAGGAAGAACACCAAUGGCGAAAGCAGCUCUCUGGGACGGUACUGACGCUGAGACGCGAAAGCGUGGGGAGCGAACAGG